rnacentral:rRNA from 1 species
AGCGUAGGUGGCCUAACAUGUCAACUGUGAAACCCGGAGCUCAACUCCGGACUUGCAGUUGAAACUGGUAGGCUUGAGGACGGUAGAGGAGGACGGAACUGCCAGUGUAGGGGUAAAAUCCUUAGAUAUUGGCAGGAACGCCGGUGACGAAGGUGGUUUUCUGGGCCGGUUCUGACACUGAUGCUCGAAAGCCAGGGGAGCGAACG